GCUGUCCAGACCACCAGCGCCACCCAGAAACCAACAAACACCCUCUAGUCCAGCGGGUCCUGAAUGUGGCAUGAACACUGGGAACAAUCGGGCGUCCAGCAGACAGCAUGACUCGGUCCUCUCAGGUCCCCAAAGACCGUGUGAAGGAUGAGAAUGUGAGCUUCAUCCAGGACAUCUGCGUUCACCACCUAAACACAAACAAACAAGCAUGUUCAAUUUCAAGAAAUUCCUUCGGCAAUCCUGACACAUCCUUUAGGAUUCCUCUCCAAACGUUCAACCAUCUGCACACACACAGAGCCGUCUAGAGUAAAGUGAAGCUCACGCUGUAUCCAGCUCUGGCGCUCAGGUGCUCUGC